CGUGUUUGGUGAGAAAUUUGAAUCAGUUACAGCAACAUCAACAAUCUUCACUUCCGCGUCGAUCGACCGGAGAACGCGGAUAUCAAGGUGAGCUAUUCUUUAACUGUUAAUCUUUAAUUCAUGUUAAUUAAAAGUUAAAAUCUCAUUUCUUGAACUAUUUUAAGUCUUAUCAGCCGCUGUAAGCUCCUCGUUUUUUUAAUACGAUGACAAGAUUUUCUCCGUGAUAUCUUGAAACAAACCACAGUUAUUUUGUAGUGACGUUGAAGGUUAAUCUGAUUUUACCUUGAAUGAAAAUUAGUCUUUACCCUCAAUGGAAUUUGCGAUAAAACCUCUAGCAACCCCAAUUUUUCCAGGAAAGUCUUUCAACUCUCUGUACCAUUUCAUCUUACACAUGAAUGUCGUUUGACCUGAAAAUCAGCUCCUUAGCAACCAAAAACGAGAGGUGUCUGUAAAAUACCAUUCACUUGAAUGUGUAACGAUUACCAUCGUCUUCUGGGCUUACGUUUAUUUUCCUUAGGUAAUUUUUUAAUCUCCAUGGAAAAAAUUCAUUCAUCAAUGCAGUAUUAGUAUGAGACAUGUUCUUAUUUGUUGAGAGCUUCAUUAUAUGUUAAUAGUUAUAUGAAAGAUAUAUUGAUACAACUGAAGGCAUCGGGGGUGACCUCUUACCACUUUCACUCACAAGGUGAGUACCAUUUAUGACUAAUUUGAAGACAGUUUCAAAUUGUUUUUUUUUGUUCUUGUUGAAUAAAAACUCUUAAUUUUUCCCCUUUUUACAGGGUAGCAACAUUGCCCUCCAACUCUCUGAUCAGUCUGUUAUUGUGCUUGUCAAUCAAGGGUGAAGUGAUUUUCUGAUAGCAACAGCUGAAAUAGAGAGAAUUAGUCAAAGCAGAUAACUGUCAUAAAAGGUAACAGGAUCUGAGUUUCUGAAAACAGGAAUAAUUUGUGGCAGCAUGGACAUUUCAACUGGAGAGGAGAGUUUCAAAAGUGAUGAUCCUUCAGAAAAUAAACGUAGAAGAGUAGCAGG